UACGUAGGGUGCGAGCGUUGUCCGGAAUUAUUGGGCGUAAAGGGCUCGUAGGCGGUCUGUUGCGUCGGGAGUGAAAACUCAGGGCUUAACCCCUGAGCCUGCUUCCGAGUACGGGCAGACUAGAGGUAUGGCAGGGGAGAACGGAAUUCCUGGUGUAGCGGUGGAAUGCGCAGAUAUCAGGAGGAACACCGGUGGCGAAGGCGGUUCUCUGGGCAUUACCUGACGCUGAGGAGCGAAAGCAUGGGGAGCGAACAGG
rnacentral:rRNA from 1 species